AUGAACGCUGGCGGCGUGCCUAAUACAUGCAAGUCGAACGCUUUGUGGUUCAACUGAUUUGAAGAGCUUGCUCAGAUAUGACGAUGGACAUUGCAAAGAGUGGCGAACGGGUGAGUAACACGUGGGAAACCUACCUCUUAGCAGGGGAUAACAUUUGGAAACAGAUGCUAAUACCGUAUAACAAUGACAACCGCAUGGUUGUUAUUUAAAAGAUGGUUCUGCUAUCACUAAGAGAUGGUCCCGCGGUGCAUUAGCUAGUUGGUAGGGUAAUGGCUUACCAAGGCGAUGAUGCAUAGCCGAGUUGAGAGACUGAUCGGCCACAAUGGGACUGAGACACGGCCCAUACUCCUACGGGAGGCAGCAGUAGGGAAUCUUCCACAAUGGGCGAAAGCCUGAUGGAGCAACGCCGCGUGUGUGAUGAAGGGUUUCGGCUCGUAAAACACUGUUGUAAGAGAAGAAUGACAUUGAGAGUAACUGUUCAAUGUGUGACGGUAUCUUACCAGAAAGGAACGGCUAAAUACGUGCCAGCAGCCGCGGUAAUACGUAUGUUCCAAGCGUUAUCCGGAUUUAUUGGGCGUAAAGCGAGCGCAGACGGUUAUUUAAGUCUGAAGUGAAAGCCCUCAGCUCAACUGAGGAAUUGCUUUGGAAACUGGAUGACUUGAGUGCAGUAGAGGAAAGUGGAACUCCAUGUGUAGCGGUGAAAUGCGUAGAUAUAUGGAAGAACACCAGUGGCGAAGGCGGCUUUCUGGACUGUAACUGACGUUGAGGCUCGAAAGUGUGGGUAGCAAACAGGAUUAGAUACCCUGGUAGUCCACACCGUAAACGAUGAGUGCUAGGUGUUUGAGGGUUUCCGCCCUUAAGUGCCGCAGCUAACGCAUUAAGCACUCCGCCUGGGGAGUACGACCGCAAGGUUGAAACUCAAAGGAAUUGACGGGGACCCGCACAAGCGGUGGAGCAUGUGGUUUAAUUCGAAGCAACGCGAAGAACCUUACCAGGUCUUGACAUCCCUUGACAACUCCAGAGAUGGAGCGUUCCCUUCGGGGACAAGGUGACAGGUGGUGCAUGGUUGUCGUCAGCUCGUGUCGUGAGAUGUUGGGUUAAGUCCCGCAACGAGCGCAACCCUUAUUACUAGUUGCCAGCAUUCAGUUGGGCACUCUAGUGAGACUGCCGGUGACAAACCGGAGGAAGGUGGGGAUGACGUCAAAUCAUCAUGCCCCUUAUGACCUGGGCUACACACGUGCUACAAUGGCGUAUACAACGAGUUGCCAACCCGCGAGGGUGAGCUAAUCUCUUAAAGUACGUCUCAGUUCGGAUUGUAGGCUGCAACUCGCCUACAUGAAGUCGGAAUCGCUAGUAAUCGCGGAUCAGCACGCCGCGGUGAAUACGUUCCCGGGUCUUGUACACACCGCCCGU
rnacentral:rRNA from 1 species